rnacentral:pre_miRNA from 1 species
GAUAUCAACCGAAAAAGUCAUCAACAACAAAGUUGAAUAACUCAUCAAGAUCUAAAACUUUUAUUUUGGUCAUUUCUUCAUACGACAAAGUAAUAGUAGCAAUGUUUACAAAAUUGACAUAUAUCUUAUCUGGUUUUAUAAACUAUAACACAUAUAUGUAAAAUUUGUGAAUAAUAUUACUAACAUUUGCAUCGGAUGAAGAAAUAACAAAAAUAAAAGUUUUAGAUCUUCAUGAGUUAUUCAACUUUGUUGUUGAUGACUUUUUCAAUUGAAAUC